ACCUGCCCUAUGAAUAAUUUAUUUUAAAUGGCCGCGGUAUUUUGACCGUGCAAAGGUAGCAUAAUAAUUAGUUUCUUAAUUGGGAACUGGAAUGAAUGGUCGAACGAGAAAAAGACUGUCUCAAUUUAAUUUAAAUUAGAAUUUUAUUUUUAAGUAAAAAAGCUUAAAUAUUCUUAAAAGACGAGAAGACCCUAUAGAGUUUUAUAUAAUUUAUUAUAAUUGAAAAUUAAAGUAUCUUAGAUUUAGUUAUAAUAGUUUAUAUUUGGUUGGGGCGAUUAAAAAAUUUAAUUAACUUUUUUUAGUUUUAAACCAUUGAUUUAUGAAUAAAUGAUCCAUAUUUUAUGAUUAAAAGAUUA
rnacentral:rRNA from 1 species